AAAAAAAUGGGCUUGGGUUCUGGUCUUUGGGGGUUUUUUCCUUUCAUUUUUGUUCUCUCACUACCAAUUAUUUCAAAGCCAUAGGGCUCAGAAUGCCACUUAGUAGGACUUGUCUUUGCUUUUACGGUCACCUAGUUUAUUGCUUCUGUAUCGGUCACGCCAGCGGCGGAGCUUUGCCCACAAAAAAAGUGGCGGCGGGGCAGGCUGCGUGCAGGCAGCUGGCGUUCGGACUGUCACAGCCCAUCAGCGUUCGCCCGGCACCUGCGGCCACGCGCGCUCGGCCCAGAGGAGCUGCUAAACAGGUGACACCUCGUGCAGCCAUGGUGGGGAAUGUCACCGCAAACGCCCCGGCCCAGAGGUGGCUCCAUCCCGGUGGCACCAUCCUGGAGCGCCCGGCUAAAAAUAACCCAUCCCUGGCCAGGGUCCGAGAGCGCAGCGGCGAUGGGGUUGGUGGUGAUGGCGGUUGCGAAUAAACGGAGGAAAAAAACCCACAAAGCCAACCAACAUCAACCCAAGAAAACCUCGCCCAAGCGGGCUGGGGGAGGAUGCGAGGGGGAGGGCGGUCUCUGGAGCAUCUUCUCCUUGUUCUUGGGUGCGCUGGCGGGUUCUGACUAGCAUGAAAAUUCGUAGCGACAAGCUGUGUCGCACAGGGGGAAAUCGAUCAGACACACACAAGGAGAACCCAGUGUAGAUUCGGGACAGCAAUCCAACUUCAUUUCUCAGAUCAAUCGUCCGCCAUCUCAGCGGCAGUGACAGCAAGCUGGGAGAGGAGGGCAGCCUGGAAAAGUAGGCUGUGAGCGCUGAGUGGGUGGUGGCAGUGGUGUCUGGGGUGGCACAGAGGAGGGGGCAGCUGCCCUGGACAUGGGGAUGCUGAUGGUUGAGAUAGGGUGGUCUUGAACUGGUCAGAGAGGUGAUGAUCCUCUGGGUGGGAUGGUGGUCCUGCAGCCGAGACCCCAGCACGGUGCCGUCACCAGCCAGUCCCAUCACUCUCCAGUGCGCUGGGCCAUUUGUCACCUGGCGUGUGACCAUCUUGCGGGACGGCCACCACCAGUAUGCAGAGAGGGCACAAGGAGAGGGGUGCCCUGGGACAGGGGGCUCUGCUCCCCUCUCCUGCAGGCGCUGGGGCUUAGUGGGCGGCUUGACGUCAGGAGGCAGAGGCAGGGAGGAUUUGUGAAGUAAUGUAAUUGAACAUGUGCAGAUAAUUAUGUCUCAUUACAUAAGCCCCUUGCAAAAACAGCACUUGGAAAUGCCACAUGAAAGAGCCUAUCGUUCUGCAUUAAUUUCUCCGUGUGCUGAAUUUAUUCCCUUUCUGGCUUUUUAAUACUUGGAGAGUAAAUGAAUCGCAGGCUGAUCAUGAUAAGAGAUGAUACUUUUGUAUAAAUUAAAAUACCCCCAAGGAAAGAGGCUGAGCUGAUUACAGUUGCAGUUGGCUUGGAAAAUAACAGUGGGCUGGGUCAAGCCAAAAUCUGAGGGGGAGAGUUGCUGCCAGGGAUUUUGAGGCAGGGAGGGGGUGAUUGGGGAGAGAAGAAGGAAAAGAGAGCGAAAACUCAAAAGCUGAAUAGGACAAGGAGAGCUGUGCUGGUGUUUCUGGCUGUGGUUCUCUGUAGAAGAACCAAUGUUCCCGUGAAUAGCAAUCAGAGCUGGUAAACUGAGAGUAGCAGGGGCUUGGCAGUUCCCUCUGUGUGUCCCAAACAGGGACCUGGCAUGUUUGGCAUCUGAUGUCUUCUCAGGCUGGUUUUCAGGGAGGGCAAGAGCCCAAACUGGCCCAUAUUGGAUGUUGUCAAAAGAGGGGCAGGUUGGCAAAGGGACUGCACUGUGUGGGUGACUCAAUUCCCCAUAAAGCUGUGGUAGGCAUGGGAAAUGAGGCAGGGAGUCCAGAGCUGAGCAGACCAUUUAGGAAGCAUCUUCUGGAUUGCCUGUUUGUUUCCCCUGUAUCCCAGCCAGUGUGCUCCAGCCUGAUUGUCACUUAAUGUCUUCCCAUUCGGUGAGGUCCCUUGAUGGAUCCCAGUUUGUCCACCCUGAGGUGCUGCUGCCCUUUUGGAAGCAUUGGUGCUGGGGAAGUCCUCAGUGCAGGCAGGGUGACUGUCUCCAACAGGCAGGGCUUCCCUGCCUUUCCCUGAACCCUUUCAUGCCGAGGAGGGGCAGCAGAAUGCGGAGCAGAGCUGAUUGUGACAUGGAAAGCUGCCGUCCCCACAUCACCCGAGCAUCCUCGCGAGCUGCUGGAAGGAGAUGAGCCGAAACCUAGUCAAGAGCCCUGUCACAACGAUGUCUGCACGGGGCUGAGGUGAAGCCAUCCCUGGAGCCCGUCAGCACCAGGAAGUCAGCGGCAGGUUGCCCAGCUCCACUGCUGGAAACCUUGGCAGGGCAGACAACGCUCGGGGUUUGCCUUCCUUGAUGGAGGAUGAAUUUUUAAACACGUGUAAGUUGUGACAGCUGAGAAGAGGGAUCUACCCAAAGCCCAGUUCCCUGCGAGGCUCUGCUGCUGUGGCUGACAGGCUGCUCUGCCAGGAAGGAAGGGCUGGAGUCGGUUCUGCAUCGUUAGCAGGAUAAUGGGCAAUGUCCCAGCCAUCGCCAGCGCUGCGACCCGCAGCUGAGGCAGGGGGAGAGCAGAGCCUUCUCCUCCACAGGUGGGGACUGCACUGGUCCCAGCAAGGGAUGAGGACGCUCUGACAGUGGAGGGAUGGUGGAGAGGAGCUGUCCUGUGGAUACCCAGCCUUGGGUCACACUGAGAAGAAGCAGGGACCUCCUCUCCUUUCAGGAGGUUUGGGGUGUGAGCCCUUCUGGCAAACUUGGAGGCUGUAGGUUUUUGCACCAUGAGGUGAGACUUGUUAAGUGUCUGGGCUGUCUGGGCAGUAUUUAUUCAUGAGGGGUCCAUAUGUGUAUCCAGGAGAAAAUCCCAAAACCAGGGAUUUCAAAGCAUUUAGGAAAGCCCAGGUUCUUUUGGGUUCCAGUAGAAGUUGGAUAUUUAUUGCCACAGACCUCUAGAGGGUCCUACCCCAAAACAUCACCUUUCCUGCCACUGGCCUAUGACUGUAAAUCUCCCAAGUGUUCUCCUUCCCCCAUAUGCUAAUGAAUGAGUGAACUGUAGUCAUCUUAAAGCCCUUUCAGAAAUUUGGGUUUGGACUUAAUUUAAUUUACAGAUGAUUUAAACAUGUGAAAUUACGAGUUGUUCUUAAGUUCAUCAGAAAGUGAAGGUUUUGAUUUAAAACUGACAUCUGAAGAGGUGUCCUGGAGACCACUGCUCUGUCUUUGGCAUCUGCCCCUCCUGAAGAAGUCACAGCCAUGUGCAGGGGCUCUGCAAGGAGGAGCAGCCUCCUCAAAAGAUUCCAUUGUCUUUGAGGGAGAUCCCGACUGAUUUACUACAGUCAAACCCCAGGGGAUCUCCUUGCUUGGAAGAGGUAGAGCCAUCUGGGUGGAACUGGAUGAAUCCCACAUGUGGCUUGGUCCAUGCAGCGGUGGAGUGAACUCCAGGAUGAGUGGGGAUGGGGCCUGCAUGCCCUCUGCCUGGGGAAGGAUCCAACCUCCUCAUGGAGGACUUUUCCGUACCAAAGGAUGGUGUGAAGGUGUCACAGCCAACCUUGGGUGCUCCUUUCUACCACUUGACCCACAACUUACCAGGCCACACUGGCUUCUCCCCAACAUUCCCUCGACUUCCCACUGGAUGCCACCAAGGUUGUAUUCAGCCACACAAAUUCCUGAAGCACGGGAGGGCUCAUUCCCAGUGCGCAGUACCUUCCAAGGAUUUUGGGUGCUGAACGUGAAGCCGCCGCUCGGUCGCUUCUGCGGCUGGCAGGCAAAAGCCUCGCUAAAAAUAGUUGAGCACAAUAGGGCCAGAGCCCUGCUCCACAUGGCCCCCACCACUCUCCCCCCUCCUGCUCGCCGUAACGACCCUGCAAACACUAAAUGGCAUCUGAGUGCAUUAAGCAGCAAACUCUCCGGUGACAUAGCAAUUACGGCUCUGAAAUAGAUUUGGUGCGUCACGGAAGAUAAGGGUUUUGAAAGUUUCUGUUGUGAUUAUAGCUUGUAACUCCAACAAAUAACAGGCUUGGUAAUAAGAGGCUGCCAGCACAGCUAUUGUGGUUCUCUCUCACUGAUGGCACGUAAAUUGCUAUUAAUGUCCUAAGUGUACUUGAAUAUGCCAGUCUCGGGGCGGCGGAGUUGGCUCUGUGUCUCUCUUUACGCGGCCUGUCAUUGUCGGGCUGAUAAUCUACGGUAAUUGCUGCCUCUUGCAGCAGUCCAAGAUGUGUAAGGGUGGAUAUUGCCUCUUGGGGAGCGCAGGGAUGGGGGGUCAGGGCCUGGCUGUGGGUGGGAGCUGGUGGGGGCAGUGGGAAUGGGGCACACGGGGCUGGUGAUGCUCCUGCAUCGUCUGGAGCAGAGUGGGGUUUACUGGCCUGUGAGCCAGCUGAGGUUGUGAUUCCUGCUUUCCUUGCUGUUGCCUGAACCCCUCUGCUGCCUUGCACAUAUAGCAGAGCACACGGGCACAGCAAGGGGUGUGCACACACCUCUGGUCUUGUUUGCUCUGUGUGUGUCCCGCUGUGAGGUGGUGUGUCUCCUCAAAUGUGGGUUCUCGUGCCUGUCAGCUCUUUGCUCCCAGCCCAGCAGCCUCUCAGACAGGCAGGAGCUGGGCAGCAGCACCUCGGUGAUGCCCUAAGGAGCUGGAACAGAGGUUAGAUGGAGUUAAGAGGAAUAAAGUGGAUAUUUAUUAAAGUGCCUUCAAAGGCCACACCCUGGCAGUACUGGCGCCACAGUCAUGGCCAAGAUGGAAACAAAAGAGAGCUUGGUCACAAGAUCUCACAUUUUUAUAAGUUUUAGUCCAUUUGCAUACAGGAGUUAACUAUCCAAUUAAUAGCUUCAAGUUAUGAAGUUUCAUCCUCCUUGCUUGCUUGCCCUCCCUCCUCUUCUCACGUUGAUUAUGCUUUGGGCCUGAAGUUUGAAGAGAUUGUCCUUCAGUCUCCAGCUAGAACAGGAAUGUUUUGUCUUCACCACCCUGUGAAAAAGAUCCCAGUAACACUUAACAUAAAGCUAAAAGCUGCACACCAAAGCAGAACAGAAAAACUUAAAACCUCAGGUAUCCUUGGGGUGGGGAGUUUUCCUACCCUCAGCCCUCUGGGGUGUGCAGGGUCCCAGCUGGCCCUGGAUGAUGCAGCAGGCAGUGGGACAGGCAGCCAGAGUGGGCAAAGCAGCCCGGGCGUGUCUAAAGCGGGACAGCGCCUGCUGCCAACUGGAGCCUGGGCAGAGCUUGGGAAGGAUUAAUUUGCCAAGCACUGAAUCAAUGUCAGAGCAAGCAGAGGAGGUUGGGUGUGACAUCUGCUCCUCUCCGAAGGGGAUGGCAGCGGCAGAGGAGCAGCUUCUGUGCGCUGCCGGCUCCUGCCCGCGGCAGCCGGGGCCCUCCAGUAGCUCAGCUCUGGAGUGCCUGGAGGAUUUGGCUCUGCAUCUGUUUUUAGGAGAAGAAACAAGUUGUCUGCCAUGGUUUGCUGCAUGAACCCUCAGAUGGGAUAUAGUGUUGGCACCUCUGUCGAGCUGUGGCUCGGUUUCCCUCGAUGAGGCGGGGAUGUGGAGCUUUUCCGGGGAACACGGCACAGCUCAGCAGUUCCAUGGGACCUAUUGCUUGUUCUGCAUAUUCAUAGCACUUGGGUUCAGGUAACAUUCAGGCUGCUGAUUCUGAAGUGUUUGUUAUUUUAUUUCUUCCAUAUGAGGAAGAGUUAUAAUCAGGAAGAGUUAUGAUCAGGUUAAAAAACCCCAAACAACCAGAGCUCAGGGUUCUGGAGAAAUAUGUUGGGUUUUUUUAGGGAUGGACUUUCCGUGAGCGCUUGCACUUUAUCAAAA